rnacentral:rRNA from 1 species
AGAGUUUGAUCCUGGCUCAGGACGAACGCUGGCGGCGUGCCUAAUACAUGCAAGUCGAGCGGACAGAAGGGAGCUUGCUCCCGGAUGUUAGCGGCGGACGGGUGAGUAACACGUGGGUAACCUGCCUGUAAGACUGGGAUAACUCCGGGAAACCGGAGCUAAUACCGGAUAGUUCCUUGAACCGCAUGGUUCAAGGAUGAAAGACGGUUUCGGCUGUCACUUACAGAUGGACCCGCGGCGCAUUAGCUAGUUGGUGAGGUAACGGCUCACCAAGGCGACGAUGCGUAGCCGACCUGAGAGGGUGAUCGGCCACACUGGAACUGAGACACGGCCCAGACUCCUACGGGAGGCAGCAGUAGGGAAUCUUCCGCAAUGGACGAAAGUCUGACGGAGCAACGCCGCGUGAGUGAUGAAGGUUUUCGGAUCGUAAAGCUCUGUUGUUAGGGAAGAACAAGUGCAAGAGUAACUGCUUGCACCUUGACGGUACCUAACCAGAAAGCCACGGCUAACUACGUGCCAGCAGCCGCGGUAAUACGUAGGUGGCAAGCGUUGUCCGGAAUUAUUGGGCGUAAAGGGCUCGCAGGCGGUUUCUUAAGUCUGAUGUGAAAGCCCCCGGCUCAACCGGGGAGGGUCAUUGGAAACUGGGAAACUUGAGUGCAGAAGAGGAGAGUGGAAUUCCACGUGUAGCGGUGAAAUGCGUAGAGAUGUGGAGGAACACCAGUGGCGAAGGCGACUCUCUGGUCUGUAACUGACGCUGAGGAGCGAAAGCGUGGGGAGCGAACAGGAUUAGAUACCCUGGUAGUCCACGCCGUAAACGAUGAGUGCUAAGUGUUAGGGGGUUUCCGCCCCUUAGUGCUGCAGCUAACGCAUUAAGCACUCCGCCUGGGGAGUACGGUCGCAAGACUGAAACUCAAAGGAAUUGACGGGGGCCCGCACAAGCGGUGGAGCAUGUGGUUUAAUUCGAAGCAACGCGAAGAACCUUACCAGGUCUUGACAUCCUCUGACAACCCUAGAGAUAGGGCUUUCCCUUCGGGGACAGAGUGACAGGUGGUGCAUGGUUGUCGUCAGCUCGUGUCGUGAGAUGUUGGGUUAAGUCCCGCAACGAGCGCAACCCUUGAUCUUAGUUGCCAGCAUUUAGUUGGGCACUCUAAGGUGACUGCCGGUGACAAACCGGAGGAAGGUGGGGAUGACGUCAAAUCAUCAUGCCCCUUAUGACCUGGGCUACACACGUGCUACAAUGGACAGAACAAAGGGCUGCGAGACCGCAAGGUUUAGCCAAUCCCACAAAUCUGUUCUCAGUUCGGAUCGCAGUCUGCAACUCGACUGCGUGAAGCUGGAAUCGCUAGUAAUCGCGGAUCAGCAUGCCGCGGUGAAUACGUUCCCGGGCCUUGUACACACCGCCCGUCACACCACGAGAGUUUGUAACACCCGAAGUCGGUGAGGUAACCUUUAUGGAGCCAGCCGCCGAAGGUGGGACAGAUGAUUGGGGUGAAGUCGUAACAAGGUAGCCGU